GGGCGUUAAGUUGCAGGGUAUAGACCCGAAACCCGGUGAUCUAGCCAUGGGCAGGUUGAAGGUUGGGUAACACUAACUGGAGGACCGAACCGACUAAUGUUGAAAAAUUAGCGGAUGACCUGUGGCUGGGGGUGAAAGGCCAAUCAAACCGGGAGAUAGCUGGUUCUCCCCGAAAGCUAUUUAGGUAGCGCCUCGUGAAUUCAUCUCCGGGGGUAGAGCACUGUUUCGGCUAGGGGGCCAUCCCGGCUUACCAACCCGAUGCAAACUGCGAAUACCGGAGAAUGUUAUCACGGGAGACACACGGCGGGUGCUAACGUCCGUCGUGAAGAGGGAAACAACCCAGACCGCCAGCUAAGGUCCCAAAGUCAUGGUUAAGUGGGAAACGAUGUGGGAAGGCCCAGACAGCCAGGAUGUUGGCUUAGAAGCAGCCAUCAUUUAAAGAAAGCGUAAUAGCUCACUGGUCGAGUCGGCCUGCGCGGAAGAUGUAACGGGGCUAAACCAUGCACCGAAGCUGCGGCAGCGACGCUGAUGCGUUGUUGGGUAGGGGAGCGUUCUGUAAGCCUGUGAAGGUGGCCUGUGAGGGAUGCUGGAGGUAUCAGAAGUGCGAAUGCUGACAUAAGUAACGAUAAAGCGGGUGAAAAG
rnacentral:rRNA from 1 species